rnacentral:lncRNA from 10 species
GCAGUCAUCCUGCGACCUCCAGAAUCCACCGGGGUGCAGCGAGGCUGUGGAAAGUCCCACCCAGAACGUGAGGUGAGACCCACAUUGUGUUACCCUGAACAUGUGUGAGGACGAACCUUUGUGUUUUCUUAUACGUGUGUCUCUGAGGCGAUUUUUGUGGUUUUGUACGUGGCGGGGGGCACUGAUUUUGAAUAUGUGUGUAUGUUCUGGACAUUUGUUUAGCUUCUGCAUCCACUUCUGCGGAAGGGCAGAGUUGAGU